GUGCUCGUCUUGGCAGCAUGUGUACUGAAACUGGAAUGAUACAGAGAAGGUUAGCAUGGCCCCCGUGCAAGGAUGACAAGCACAUUCAAGAAGUAUUCCAUGUUUUU